rnacentral:rRNA from 1 species
AAAGGAUAGAAGCUGAAUCCCGAGUAGUACGGGGCACGAGAAAUCCCGUAUGAAUCAGCGAGGACCAUCUCGUAAGGCUAAAUACUACUGUGUGACCGAUAGAGAACAAGUACCGCGAGGGAAAGGUGAAAAGAACCCCGGGAGGGGAGUGAAAAAGAACAUGAAACCGUGAGCUUACAAGCAGUGGGAGUCCGAUUAAACGGAUGACCGCGUGCCUGUUGAAGAAUGAGCCGGCGACUUAUAGGUACUGGUAGGUUAAAGCGGGAAUGCUGGAGCCAAAGGGAAACCGAGUCUGAAAAGGGCGAUAAUCAGUAUUUAUAGACCCGAACCCUGGUGAUCUAACCAUGGCCAGGAUGAAGCUUGGGUAAAACCAAGUGGAGGUCCGAACCGACCGAUGUUGAAAAAUCGGCGGAUGAGCGGUGGUUAGGGGUGAAAUGCCAAUCGAACCA